CCCCGAAGACUCACAGAAAUGUGCCUCGUUCAGAUGCGGCUCUCGAAAGUCUUGAAAUUCCAGGCAGCCUCUGAUCAACUGGCAACGUUGAUUACUCACGAUGAAGCGAGACUCUCACUGUGGAGGAGCACCGGGAGCGCGUCGACCGGGACAGCAAAGCUCCAGCAACGAACUCGAAGCUACGCGUGCCGCGUUCGUCAACGGUUUCGCGUUGCGUGCAGACGUCGGGCUGACGCAUUGCAGAAGAAUAAGCACUCGGCAGCCGGGUCAGGCGACAGAAGACAGAGCGAGGAGGGAAGGAAGAACGAGGAGAAGAAACGAAUCGACGACCGUCGUAGAGCUGGCACGUGCUGACCCGAUCGAGAUUCAGUUCACCGGGCUGUUGCACCAGAACACGUAACCGGGGAUUUCGCGGCGGACACUCACUGCUGGGGGAAAGGGGAGAGGUCUAGCCGCGUGGAAGACGAACCUGAGGGUAUUCCCGGAAGACGAUUAACGGGGACACAACAAGGAACGCCGAGUGGAUUAGGGGAUGAAGAGGGCUGGGCUGAGAAUUAAUCCUGCUGCUGUUUGUCAUUUGAAACUACGUUGGAUUCGACGUCAGCAUUUCAACUACCAAAACAUUCACUAAAGAAGCUUCAAUCAACGUACAACAUAAAGGUGUACACACGGUUGCCUACCAAGGGGCGCAAACAUUCAAGACAGCACGCGACAAAGAAUCAACGUUCGGAUGACCAGCGGACACGAGGAACCCGUAUAAUCCACGUGCAACAAAGAAUCGCGGUACUGCGCCAGGGACGCUUACAUAAGUGGACGGCUGAGAGGUUAGCCGAGGGACCGAGACGGCCGGGGAACCGCGAGCAGUUUGCUCUGCGUGACGUUCUAGCGAGGACGGGGUCCACGGCUCGGCAACCGAGUCGACGGGAUCAAUUCAGUCCACCGAAAUCAAGCUCGAACCGAGCCACCUUAGUCAAGGUAGAUAAGGCUGACCGGUGCACGCGACACCCUGGAAUCGGCGCUCCGGAACAUCCGCAACGGGCUCGUCCACUGCGAAACCACAAGGAACACACUCGAGGACGCGCGACGGACGCGGAGCGAGAGGCGGAAUUAACGGCGAGCGUCGACGAGGACGACGUCGAGCGACGCGAAGUCCGAGCAGGACCACCCUACACCGUCGGCUUCCACUGUAGCCCUCUCCGUCUUUCUUCCUCUCGCCUGUCGCCUGUCAAUCUAUCCGUCUUUCUCUCGCCCAGGUCGUCUCUCGGAUCGCGGCAACGGACUAGAAGCUGCAGCGGCACGCUGCACACCCAGGACGCACCACGCAAGUUCCAGCUGACGUCCUGGCGAAUCGAAGAAGUGGGGAGGGGCGGGCCGCCGCGGAACGGGGCUCGAUCCGCGGAUUUAGAUCGCAGCAGGCGGCCGAAGCGCGCGUAGCUCCUACUUGUAGGCUCGCUGAAUCGCAGACCCUGUCUUUUUCAGUUAUGUUCUCGUCACAUUGUCUGGAACAGAAGUUCCAAGUGAAUCCACGAAAGCAUAGGAGCUAAGGGUAGUCUGUCGAGCUUGUCGCUUCCCUUCUAGACUCAGGAGUCUACAUGGCUCUUGGGAGAUUGGAAGUCGGUUAGACGAAGUCGUCGAUGGAAAGCGUCGCGAAACCGGACGUUAAGCUGCCUAGAAGCGCGGCCCGUCGCGACGACGGCGCACGUGUGCACUCGAAACGAUGCUGUACUAGGUCAGGCAUGUCGUACCGGUGGCCGCGGAGCUACGCCACGCUGAGCGAGUUCCUUUGGCGGGGGAACACGCGCGCACAGUCGCGAAAGCUGCAAAAGCCUCGACGCCACACGUCUGUCCUCGCGAGUAGCUUUCGCGACGCUCGGUGUAACUUUGCGACAUGGCUGGAGCUUUAGCGCGCCGCAGUCACUGCUACACGUUAAGCGCCAUGCUAGUCACUGGUGACUGACGCUUCUGAAUGACAAAAACAAUCGAUGCGAAAUAGAAAUGUUUAAUAAGGCAACUAAGUUGAUAAUACGCAAACGUUGCAACGUCAAACGAUUCAUAAUUAUUCCCACUUUUCUUUGCAACAAAAGACAAAUUCUAUGGGAAGACGCUUAAGAUUUUCGUGGCGCUUAACGUGUUAACCGAGGGGUAGCUAAGGCUCGCCAGCAUAGGGACGUGCAGUUGUUGAGAAAUGAAAUGUUUGCAGAUUCGAAGCGGGACUAUCCACCGCUGCAGAGAUGGCGAAGGACUGCUGGCGAAGUUACUUACUAGCAGGCAAUUAUGCUUAGCGUCUUGGUCUCCUAGGCAACUGGCCGCGAGAGUGGGGAACCCGACUCGCGUGCAGCGAAGCUUCGACGACACUAUUGUAGCUAACCGCGAAAGCUGGUUGAUCGGCGACUACCAUCGAUUCCGCGUCUCCGACGGUUACGUGUCACCCGAGGAGGAGGGAAUCAAUCGACGGGGGAGGGAACGCGCUCUCGAAGAGGCUCGCGAGAGAAGAGAGGACACGAGGCAGCCGCGCGACACUGAAUGAACUCGUCGCUGACCCCGCAACGUCCUGUGGCACGGAGCCACGAGCCACUCGUCUGCUGCCACCCACUCGACGCUACCCUCUUUCCCUUCCGCAGUGGAGCCCCUUCCAAGAGACAAUCCUAGCUGAUUUAGCUAAACGUUGGGUUCAUAGUCUUUACCAGAAAACUCUGAUAACCGCGCUAGUCUCUCAGAUUAACUCUGCGUACUGCAGGGCUGCCAAGCUUAGCCCUUUGCACUCAGAUUCGACGCAGCAAACUUAUAAAAUUUUCAAUUCAAUAUUAAACCUUGUGUAAUGUAUUAACACAAAACAUUGAAGCAAGUUCUGUCUCUUAAUUUAUAGAAGAUAACUUAAGAUCUAUAACUUAUAUAUUAUAUAUUUAUAGUAGAUAGAUUAUAGCUACAUAUUUAUAGUUGAUAGUGUUGCGAAAAAUAUCGUUAAUACUUAGUCAGAAAGUAAUGAAUAUUUUUCAUGAGAAAUAUCGUCGAGUGCAGAGGAUUAAUUAGAGUUGCGAACAGUCCAAUUAGACAGUCAACCUGUAUACACGAAUGUUGGUGUCCGCUGGAGGAUUACUCCGGCGACGAUGGUUUUUAUCGGCCGGAUUAAUGGAGUCAGAGGUUUCAGAGAGCUCAGAGGCGACUGUGCGUCUGGUUUCUGCGUCGUAGGACUUCCAUAAAGGGAUGCCGACGGAUUUCGUUACGCAAAAGCGGCGUCGAAGGAACGGGGAAAAUAAAAUGCGUCGGGAACGAACCUCCGCCGGCUACGCGCGAGCCACCGCGCGCAUGCUGGCCUCGCGGUGACGUCAGGGGACGAAAAAUCAAUCCACCCUGCCGUCGCACUGUACAGUGCGGCAGGACGGAAUCGCUUUACAGAUAUACAGUGACCGACGAAUUCGUCGGAAUUGAUUGAUCACCUUGGAAUUAUUCAAUCCGCCUCUAUUAGCAUCCGCUCGUAUCGAGAUCUUUGUCUUUGUAUAAAUCCCUUGAUGAACUGGAAGAAUAAUUAAUUAUCCCGUUAGAUAUGGGAGACGAAUGUUUAUUAAUCAUCCUGUUCAUCUAUCAUUGAUCUUAUCUGACACGUCGAAUGCUAUGGGGGUCACCGGUGACCGCCAAGCAAAGCGAAUUAUUCGCAAACAUUCUAUAUUAUAAAUAAUGCUACUCAUCGCGGUGACAUUCGGUUUGAUGAACGUACAAUGAUAAUUCAGUCGAAUGAUCAAAUACUGGAUUUUUUCCAAAGUGUACUUUGCUCUAUGAAAUCGUGCGUUCAACGUGUUAAUAUAAAUAUUCAUUAUGGAUUCUGUGACAUUGUAUCUAUCAUCGGUUUUAUUUAUUACUAACACUGUUUCUAUUACAGGAAUGCAGAUGCGGACAAUUAAGGAUCGAAGUUGAAAGUGGACAGCCGAAAGCGAUCGUUACGCAAUCCCUUCGGCCAGUGGUGUUUAAUCAAUUAAUCAAUCGACGGUCCUGGCUCGUUAAGAACGCACACGCCCGUGUAAUUGGUCUGACGCUUAUGUAAUACGAGGCCGCUUAAUUCGGCCGUCGGUGAACGCGCGGCCGACGCAUCGUUUGUUUAUAUUCACCGAGGAUUCCGAGCUUAACCGAGAGCUUAGCGGUUCUCUCGCGAACUCGAGACAGCCGCGGAGAAACUAGUGCCGCAAUUUUAUCGACCUUGUUUGUAUCGCGAGAGAUUUCCUCUCUCUUUCUAUCCGUCUCGUCGGAGAACUGCGACGCACCGACGCGGUCUCUUGCGUAGCACGAAAACACGAACGACGCAACACCCGUCGCGACGCGGAGCGACGGAGAAAGCCGUUUUUUAUGCGAGACGGGUCUGUUCUUGAACAGAGCGUUCAAUGAUAUUGCGCUCUAUAUUUGAAAGAAAGGAAACUUAUAAUUUGAUGCUAUUGUAAUUCUUAGUGAUAGAUUAUGGGUUUCUUUUUUUCAAAGAAUAAGUGAUUCAAGGAUAGAUCUAUAAUUGACUGGUAGAUUGGUAUAAAUACCGCAUUCUCCAUUUGAAAGAAAGAAAAUUUAAAACUUGAUGUUACUAUAAUUCUUAGUGAUAGAUUAUGGGUUUCUUUUUUUCAAAGAAUAAGUGAUUCAAGGAUAGAUCUUAGAAACUUCCAAUUGAUCUUAGAAACAAAAGUUGCGUUUUCAGAUUAAAAGAGUAGCAUUGCAAUUUUGUCCAUCUCUACCAACGUAAGCAAAGAAAAAAUAAAAAAAGGUAGCUUACCGAUCGUUGCACCAAAGUAGCUCUCGCGCGUCGUCCGAAGGUUCACUAAUGAGUGGAAAACUCGGUGCCUACCCGUUUCUCAUGAUAAUUGAUAACGCUCGAUUUUUCUCUUGUACCCGGCACGCGUGAAACGGAAUGGAAUUAAGGAACCAAGGUGGAAACACCGCUGCAGCUGCGACUGCGACAACAAUUGCGAAAUCGCGUAUGGCACAGCCGGUCGAAAGGGAUUCCGGCAAUGCUGUUGUUCCGUGGAUCAGCACCAUUAGCUUAUCAAGUCCGUUAAACGGCCACGAAAGAGGACAGACACGCCGAACGAGGCGGUUCUUAAGUGUCUGGAGGUGGUCGUGCGUUGUAUAAGAUGCUGCAUAGCUUCAAUUAUCCGAACCAAUUGAGACCAAGGUGGCCAGGGAAUCGAAUUGUUCGGAUAAUCGAGUGAUGAGGCUGAUUAACUGUCACAGGUAAUUACUGGAAAGGUACCGAGACUUUGUCCGCGAAACGAUGAUUAUUUGAAAACAUUUCUAUAUUGCAAAUCAACGUGCGAUAACGAUGCACUUCAAUCAAACGAUUUAAUAUUAUUUUUUACUUUGCGUACUUUGCUCUGAAAUGCGGCAUUCACCUUUUUAUAUUGUUUUAUACAGUUUUAUAUAGUUUUCAUAGAUCUUUAACCCAGCAGAUGAAAUUAUCCAUCAGUUGCUUAAUCAAUAGACGAAAGGAAACUUCGCGCUUCUCUUGCCGUUUCAGUAAUUAAAUCAUUUGCGACUUAGCUUACCUAAUAUAAGAAUUUCUGAAGUGUCGACAUUCGUCGGCAAAGUUAAAGAAGCUGAUUCAGUAACGCCUAAACUAAGUCGGUUUAAGUGGUCGAUAGUUCUAGCGUUAAGUACCUUCGGCCUUAAUUAAUUUGCGGCUGUAAAGAUUGGACUGAGAACUAGAAUGCAAGAGAUUAUUGCAUCUGUUGCGCGGUUCACUCUCGACUGACCUCAGGCUUUCUUUAAAGCCUUGACAAUUUCUUUUUCAUUAUUUAAGCCCCCGCGUUGGCGGGGAGUUUUUUGCUCCAAAUUAGAAUGGCUUCCGCUUGGCAGUGUUGAGAUCUCCUUCGGGAAGCCCUGCAACACCUUCGCAACAAUGUUAAGCGCAGGUCGAACGUGUGUUUGGCACGAAUCGCGAGUGCAAGGUCUCGUUUCUCGUUCGUUGGAAUGUACUCGAUGGAAUUUAAUGUUGAAAAUUAUUAUUAAUUAUG